CAAGCGUAAAGAGAGGCCCCAAAUUCCAUGGGCUCCUGGUCUAGCCUGAGGUCAGGGGCCUUCCUGUAGGAGGUGACACUGGAGCCACGGACGAGGAUGGAAGAGCCUCAUGUGCCAGGAUGGGGUUUCCAAUCCUUGGGUCAAACAUGCCUCUUGCUUCUCCGUCAUUCCUCUGGGCUUCCCAACGCUGGCCCCAUCCUUGGAACCUGCUCCCUGCCUGGGCAAGCUUCAGAGAACGCCAGAGCUGGUGGGGGCCACUUCCGAGGCUCACUGCCUCCUUUGCUGCAUGACUGACCUCCACUGAGCGUCAAGGACCGGGUUCCAGGCUGAGAAUUCAACUCUACCUUAGUGGGUACAGCUGUAACACCCAAAACCAGGGCAGAAACCAGGGGAGAGAGGUCAGCAGAUUGGUUAUGGAUUAUUUUCAUCGACAUGACAAAGGACUCACCUCCAGAAUAUAUAAGGAACGCCUGCAGAUCAACAUGAAAAAGACAAGCCACCAGCCACGUGUAGUACAAGGGACUCAAAAUUCACAGCCGCAGACAUUAAGUGGAGCCUUCGAGGAGAUUCCAGAUUCUGUGCUCACAACUAGGUUCCCCUGGCCUCUGCCCUCACUCCUCGCCAAGUUCUGUAUCCGCUGUGCCUUUACUCAGGGGUAAAUUUUGCAGAGUCUCCUGUCCCCUGCUCUUGGUAGGAGGGGCCGGGCUGCAGAGCCAAAGAAGAAUGCCAAGAAGGACGGAGGAUGAAUGACACCAGAAGAAAAGAGAAGAGGCAGGAAGUCUUCCCAGACAGGCCCCAGACUCGCCCCCGGGGUCCGGGCUCCAUGCUAACAGUGGCGUGGGCCUGGGGAGUUCCCUCCACCCUCCGAUGGGAGAGGAAGCUCCCUAAAAGCACAACCUGGAACUCCCCAAGAAGUAGCCAGGCAGAGGGGAAGGUGCACUGGGCCAGGAGUCAGGAGCCCCGGGUGCCAGUCCUAACACCCGGCAGACUGGUUGGGUGACCUUGGGCAUCCUCUCUGUGACCUUGGUCUUUACAGCAGUACCAGGAGAGCAUUGGGUAGCUGAUCCUCAGGGAGCUGUCCAGCUCUGACUCAGGGAGACUAGGCCGGGUCCACCCCUCCUGCUCCCUCGCCCCUCACCUUCCCCCAACAGCAUCUCAGUGCCCCCAGCCCCUGGGACUCCCCCAGCCAGUAACCCACAGUGAGACCAGUCAGGGCCUGGCUGAGUCUGAGAGCCAACCAGCCGCGGUGCAGGCCUGAAUCACCCAGCCCGACCAUGGCUGUGUGCCCUGGGAGCUCACGGUGCCAGAGCCGCCUAGAAGGGCGGGCGCUUCGUUCCGAGCCACUGCUUUGUUUUAAUACUUGAUUCCUGCUCCACUUCCCCUGAGUCCACGUGUGCGCCCCUUUUUCCCAGCUCUGGUCCCCAAGGGCCAGGCGCACACACAGCAGCCACCCACUAUGCAGGCCUCCUGGGUGCUGGCUGUGGUGGAGAAAGAUGGAGAAGGAACAGUCUGAAGGGGCUGGCACAGCCUGCAAACCUUCCGAUCUAAUGGGAGAGGCACAGCCCCUGUCCUGGGGGAAUCUCCAGGUGAUGGAGGAGCCCUCAGGAGACCGCUGUGAGGGUCGCUCUUAAACCGCACACUGGGGCCGGCCCGGUGGCAUAGCGGUUAAGUUUGUAUGCUCCACUUCAGCAGCCUGGGGAUCAUGGGUUCAGAUCCCCGGGGUGGACCUACAUACUGCUUAUUAAGCCAUGCUGUGGCAGGCGUCCCACAUACAAAGCAGAGGAAGAUGGGCACGGAUGUUAGCUCAGGGCCAAUCUUCCUCAAAAAGAAAAACAAAAAAACAAAACCGCACACUUGCUCACUCUGGCAAAGAGCUUCUACACGCUCUCUGCCUUGGGCCAACUCCCUCCAGGAGCAAAACCAGCCAGGGGCUGGCCUCCCUGCUUGACAGAUGGGGAAACUGAGUCCCAGAAGGAGGCAUGGCGGGGCCUUUUACAGAAGGGACCAAUGAGACCCAGAGAAGGGCAGUGACCUGCCCAAGGUCACACAGCACAUCAGCAGUAGGGCUUGGAUCUGCCACUGGCCCCCUGUCCCCUGGCCAGGGCUCUCGCUGGCACUGGGGCAGGUGGAGCAGCUCUUCCCAUCAAGCGGUCCCGGUGCAGACAGCUCAGGAUGUCAGAAAGGUCUUCUGCCUUUGGGGUAUUCAGGGAUUUGCACUGGGGCUGGACCCCCCACUCCUGGCUCUCUGUCCCGCCCCACGCAUCCCGGGAGGAGGCCGACCCGGGUUCCAGCUGUGGUAGAAAUUUGUCAAGAUGGGGGUCAGGGGGCAUGGAAGGUCACAGCACCCCUCCAUCCCACCCCCGCCCUAGCCACCACCAGGCUCCCUGAAGCAGGGACACGGCCCUGCUGAGACAGCUGGGGCAGGAGAGGGACUUAGUUCUUAUUGAGCCCCUGCCAGGUGCUGGCCCAGAGCAGAGCGCUUGCACGUUCCCUCCUGCGGGUCUCAAGGCCGUCCCGAGAGCAGGAGCCUUUAAGAGAGGAAACGGAGGUCCAAAGAUGUGGAGGUACCUCGUCCCAGCUCAGGCAGCACCCACGAGGGGAGCUGGGGUGCCAGCCCAGCUCUGUCUGCUUCCGGAGCCCACACUUUAUUUCUCCGCUGAACCCGCGGCCUCUGGAGAGCCCCAGGGCACGCUCACCUCCUCUGGGCGUGCCCAGCGCAU
rnacentral:lncRNA from 1 species